rnacentral:rRNA from 1 species
CCUACGGGAGGCAGCAGUGAGGAAUAUUGGUCACUGGACGCAAGUCUGAACCAGCCAUGCCGCAUGCAGGAAGACGGCUCUAUGAGUUGUAAACUGCUUUUGUACGAGGGUAAACGCAGAUACGCUUCUCUGUCUGAAAGUAUCGUACGAAUAAGGAUCGGCUAACUCCGUGCCAGCAGCCGCGGUAAUACGGAGUAAUCAAGCGUUAUCCGGAUUUAUUGGGUUUAAAGGGUGCGUAGGCGGUCGGAUAAGUUAGAGGUGAAAUCCCGAGGCUCAACUUCGGAAUUGCCUCUGAUACUGUUCGGCGAGAGAGUAGUUGCGGUAGGCGGAAUGUAUGGUGUAGCGGUGAAAUGCUUAGAGAUCAUACAGAACACCGAUUGCGAAGGCAGCUUACCAAGCUACUUCUGACGUUGAGGCACGAAAGCGUGGGGAGCAAACAGGAUUAGAUACCCUUGUAGUC